rnacentral:rRNA from 1 species
CCUACGGGGGGCUGCAGUGGGGAAUCUUGCGCAAUGGGCGAAAGCCUGACGCAGCGACGCCGCGUGGAGGAUGAGGCCCUUCGGGGUGUAAACUCCUGUUGCCCGGGACGAACGCCUGGCUUUGGCCGGGGUGACGGUACCGGGUGAGGAAGCACCGGCUAACUCUGUGCCAGCAGCCGCGGUAAUACAGAGGGUGCGAGCGUUGUCCGGAAUUACUGGGCGUAAAGGGCGCGUAGGCGGCCCCGUAACGCGUGCCGUGAAAGCCCGGGGCUCAA